rnacentral:antisense_RNA from 1 species
GUACGCUUUAAGCGUUCUCUGGCAGAGUGCGGAACGGACGCAGUCGUCUUUUGUGAAACGGACCACCCCAACCAUCUCAUCUUCCUCAAAACGUGCCAGCGCAUCGCUCAAGCCAGAUUUUACGCUGGCGGGUAAAUCGCACUGGGUAAUGUCACCGUUAACGAUGACCGUCACGUUCUCCCCGAGGCGCGU